rnacentral:snoRNA from 1 species
UUAUAAGCUCCGGAUUUAUGACAGGCUCGUCUCUGUGGGCCUCUCAUAGUGCCCCAUGCCAGAGCAAAGUAUAACCCCGAACCAUUGCCUGGCCUCUGUGUCCAUAGGCCGCUGGCACUGAAGUGGGUUGCACAAUG